AUGAAGCGUCUCCUUGAGAAAUAUAUUCCUAAACACCAAAAACAUCUUACAUCAGCUCAAAAGAAUAGCACUGACCUAUCAGACAUAGAGGAUGUACACCAGCACAAGAAACCAAAAUUCAGUUCUAAAAAUCUCAUUGGGUUUGUUUGUGAUGAAAAUUCCAACAGACAGAAAUCAGAAGAUGUAAAAGUUGAUAAAGGAAGCAAAGAAGGUUUAUUUAUAAAUAAAGAUGUAUAUGAACAUUACCGAAGAGAUUCCAAAGACACAAAAUUUGGUAAAUCCAUGCAUAAGCAAUCAGCUCUUAACCAAAUACACUCUAUUAGAGGACUCAGGAAAGACAGUCUCCAGGAUAUCAAAGGUCCUAGCACAAAUGUGUCUAAAGCCAGAGGAAGAAGAAACACAUGGCAUAAAAGAACUCAAGUGGAUGAUGCAAAACAAGAAAGCAUUCCAAGAAAGACAGUCGCUGUUUCUUCUUCCAGAAGAAUAAAUAGAUUGGUUACUGGUCAACAAGAUAUUCUCCAAGGCUUUGCUGACCUUCCAGAAAAGUCACAUAAACUUUUUAGCCUAGCUCCGUCAAGCCUGAAAAAUGGAUUAGGUAAUAGUAUGGAGGCUUGUUCAGUUCUCAAAGAGACACAUAUCCACAGCCUGGAUUUAUCAGAUAAUCAGGAAACAAAAUGCUUGGAAUCCACUCAUGGAGCUGAAGCUGUUUUUUUCUCAGGACUUUCCUUACAGAAAGAAAUCAAGUUACCACUUGUUACUACACAUCAGCAGCCUGACACUCACCAAGAACAACAGCACAUUAGCCUUUCUCAUGAAAAUAGUAACUUGGGUCAAAAAGGUGAGAGCCUUAAUGAGUGGGAAAAUUCUUUCGCAUCCUUUAUAAAGGAAAAUCUUAGUGAUGAUGAUGAUUGCUAUAUCUCUGAGAAGACUAUAACACCUAAAAAAGUGGUAUGUUCUACGGGUUGCAAAAACCACUAUAAUUGUGAAGAGAAUAUAACAAAUAGAGAAGAAAUGGAUUUUCAACAGGUUUUCCCUUCUGAAGACUGUAUUUCACAGGAAAAUAAGUUAAAAGCUUGCAGUCUAACCAUAUUUCCACAACAGGAAGCUGUUGAUUUUUUUGAGUCAGGUAAUACAAUAGGUCCUGAACAACAUGUUGCAAAUUACGGACGAUGCACAUAUGAAACUUCUUUUGAUCAUUCACAUGGCAGUCCAGAGCUUUGUCCAGGAACAUUUUCAACACAGGGAACUUCAAAGUUGACUAGUCAUGUGGAGCUAUUCAAAAGGCCUCAAGAUCCUUUAAUGGAUCAAACAGAUACGCAUACUGUGGAAAAGGUAAAUGAGGGAGAAGAUGCUAAAAGGGAUUACAACGAUGAAAGUCAAAAACCAAGUUCUUCCAAAGGGCCUUUGUCUGCAGUUGUUAAUUCUCAUGUAAUAGAAACAACUACAGUUGAAAAAAGGAAACAAGAUAUUCCAGAGAACAAAACCAUACAUAAUAUAAUUUUUUAUUCUGCCGACAAUAUUAACAAGGAAUUGACCAAUGUCUCACAACUUAGACAAAAAGAAGAGAAAGAAAUUUCUCAUAUACCAGGUAUUAAUAAUAUUUCUUGA
ensembl:lncRNA